rnacentral:rRNA from 1 species
GAACUAAUAUUAGUCCAACUAAAACCCAACACAACUAAAAAAGACCAAUAAAACAAAACAUUUAACACUCCAUAAAAGUAUAGGCGAUAGAAAUUUAACUUGGCACUAUAGAGAAAGUACCGUAAGGGAACCAUGAAAGAAUAAGCUAAAGUACAAAAAAGCAAAGAUUACACCUUCUACCUUUUGCAUAAUGAUUUAACUAGAACAAAUUAGCAAAAAGAAUUUAAGUUAAUACACCCGAAACCAGACGAGCUACCCACAAGCAGCCCCAAGAGCAAACUCUUCUAUGUGGCAAAAUAGUGAGAAGACUUGCGGGUAGAGGUGAUAAGCCUAUCGAGCCUGGUGAUAGCUGGUUGUCCAGAAACAGAAUCUAAGUUCUAAUUUAAAUUUACCAAAAAAACCAGAAAAUUCUAAUGUAAAUUUAAAUAAUAAUCUAAAAGGGUACAGCCUUUCAGACACAGGAAACAACCUUAAUUAGAGAGUAAUAAUUGAACACACCAUAGUUGGCCUAAAAGCAGCCAUCAAUUAAGAAAGCGUUUAAGCUCAACAAUAUAACACAAAUUAAUACCAACAGUAAUUAUUAAACUCCUAAACUUACACUGGACUGUUCUAUUUAUAUAUAGAAGUAAUACUGUUAAUAUGAGUAACAAGAAACAUUUUCUCCCAGCAUGCGUGUAUAUCAGAACGAAUAAGUCACUGAUAGUUAACAGACCCUAACAUAACCUAUAAAUAAAAUCCUCAGACAGUAUACUGUUAACCCAACACAGGAGUGCUACACGGGAAAGAUUAAAAAAAGUAAAAGGAACUCGGCAAACAUAAACCCCGCCUGUUUACCAAAAACAUCACCUCUAGCAUUUAAAGUAUUAGAGGCACUGCCUGCCCAGUGACAUUAGUUUAACGGCCGCGGUAUCCUGACCGUGCAAAGGUAGCAUAAUCACUUGUUCUCUAAAUAAGGACUGGUAUGAAUGGCCACACGAGGGUUUUACUGUCUCUUACUUUCAAUCAGUGAAAUUGACCUUCCCGUGAAGAGGCGGGAAUAAAAAAAUAAGACGAGAAGACCCUAUGGAGCUUUAAUUAAUUAACUUAUAAGAGAUAAAUAUAUACCACCAAGGGACAACGCACUCUCUUACAUAAGUUAACAAUUUAGGUUGGGGUGACCUCGGAAUAUAAAACAACUUCCGAGUGAUUUAAGCUUAGACCUACUAGUCAAAGCAAAAUAAUCAUUUAUUGAUCCAAAACUUUUUUGAUCAACGGAACAAGUUACCCUAGGGAUAACAGCGCAAUCCUAUUUAAGAGUCCCUAUCGACAAUAGGGUUUACGACCUCGAUGUUGGAUCAGGACAUCCUAAUGGUGCAGCCGCUAUUAAUGGUUCGUUUGUUCAACGAUUAAAGUCCUACGUGAUCUGAGUUCAGACCGGAGUAAUCCAGGUCGGUUUCUAUCUAUUAUAUAUUUCUCCCAGUACGAAAGGACAAGAGAAAUAAGGCCUACUUCAAAAAGCGCCUUAAUAGUUAAUAGAUGAUGUAAUCUAAAUCUAUAAACAUAUAACUAAUCCAACCCAAGAACAGGGCUU